GACAGCAGCAGCCGCGGGAAUACGUAGGGUGCAAGCGUUAAUCGGAAUUACUGGGCGUAAAGCGUGCGCAGGCGGUUAUAUAAGACAGAUGUGAAAUCCCCGGGCUCAACCUGGGAACUGCAUUUGUGACUGUAUAGCUAGAGUACGGCAGAGGGGGAUGGAAUUCCGCGUGUAGCAGUGAAAUGCGUAGAUAUGCGGAGGAACACCGAUGGCGAAGGCAAUCCCCUGGGCCUGUACUGACGCUCAUGCACGAAAGCGUGGGGAGCAAACAGGAUUAGAUACCCCCGUAGUCCCUGUCUCUUAUAC
rnacentral:rRNA from 1 species